AUUGAACGCUGGCGGCAGGCCUAACACAUGCAAGUCGAACGGUAACAGGAAACAGCUUGCUGCUUUGCUGACGAGUGGCGGACGGGUGAGUAAUGUCUGGGAAACUGCCUGAUGGAGGGGGAUAACUACUGGAAACGGUAGCUAAUACCGCAUAACGUCGCAAGACCAAAGAGGGGGACCUUCGGGCCUCUUGCCAUCGGAUGUGCCCAGAUGGGAUUAGCUAGUAGGUGGGGUAACGGCUCACCUAGGCGACGAUCCCUAGCUGGUCUGAGAGGAUGACCAGCCACACUGGAACUGAGACACGGUCCAGACUC
rnacentral:rRNA from 1 species